GCUUGGGUUCCGAAACUCACCGAAAAACCAACGCUCUCUCCCUUACCAAAUCCAUCCGUCUCCCACAUCGCAUCUCGGUCUCCCUGUUUUCAAGUUGCAGGACUACAGCUUACAUGCUACAUAGUGCUUUUCUAGUUAUUUGUCAAGAGGGUGCAGAGGACUACAGCUAACAUACUACAUCGUGUCUUUUUAUUUGAUUUUAGGGGAAAAUUGGUUGGGCACAUUAUAUCUGAUUAUAAAAAUAACUUGCAGGUUCCAAGUUUCUUAGAUAGAAGGAUUGCAAAAUGUCUACAAUGAGGGAUCUUAGUGCCACAAAUAGAAGGCGGAGAUCCGUUGUCUGGGAUCACUUUGAAAGGGUUCCUUGUGCAAACAAGAGCAUUAGAGGCCGUGCCCAUCUUGAGUUUAGUAUCAAAGGCCGCAUUUAGCAUAGGAGGUUGUGUGCUUGAUGCGUUUCGUAGUUUUAUGACCCCAAGUAUGGUGGAGGCUCGUAUAUGUGCUCAAGAUUGGCUACGAUCUGCACCACUUUCACUUUCAAUUGAGGACUUGGAAGAACACAAAGUUUUUGAGUUCAGUAAAAAAAAUAAUAUUUUUAUAGAAUAUUUAAACCCUUUCAUAUUACAAAGGUUACUUUAAUUCUCAUUUUCAUUUUGAAAUUAAUGUAGAGUUGUUAACUAUGAUCAUGGAACCGAACUCGAUAUUGGUUCCUCUUGACGAUUGACAAAGUUGGAGAUUGGUACUUUUUAAACCAAUUACUUAUUUUUAUUGCAAAUUCACUUCUUCAUAUUCUGUAUUAGGUGUUUAGUGAGUGCUGUCUUCUUCAUUUCCUGCUUGCAGGUUGACCUUAGUUGAGCAGGAAAACCAAUGGUGUUUCUGGGUGUGCUCUGUUUCUGUUAGUAGUCCUUCAUGUAUGUUCAGAGUUUUCUUUUUUAACCUUUCUAAGUUGACUAGGGACCGGACCAGAAUGUUAGAAACAUAUCUUCUUAGAGACUCAUUCCUUGCUUCUGUUACAGAUAGUUGGUAGUUGCGUGGACAGAUGGAACCUAAUAGUGAGUUCUCUCAUGCACGGAAAUCUUUGUAGUGUAAUCUCACAUGCACAGAGAACUUCACCCUUUAUGUAUCAGGCAUUUACUGAUUAUUUUCUUGUUCAUUUCCUACUUGUAGGUCUAGUAACUCUGCUUACUUGUACAUGUCAAUAGCCUUCACCAGAAAUGUCUAGAUUAUACUACUUAUUUCUGUGCGCGGUUGAUUACUAUCUUCUUUUUCCUUCCUGUAAAUUUAGCCACCCAAUAGCCAAAAUCCUGUUGAGAGGUAUCCAGUGUUCAUGUUCGCAGCCAAUGCAUGCAAUUUUCCAUUAUCUUAGAGGGAAAAUGUCUCUACAUUAAUCUGCAUUACUUUUCAACAUGGGGGUCCAAUGCAUGCAAUUUUCCAUUAUCCUUAGAGGGAAAAUGUCUCUACAUUAAUCUGCAUUACUUUUCAACAUGGGGGUAAAAUGCUUUUUCCACUGUGCGACUGAUAAUCUGCUGUGACCUGGAGCCAAACAAUGUUCUUCUUGAUAAUGAAAUGACAGCCUAUGUAAGUGAUCCUGGUUUGGCAAGGCUGUGUCAAGGUUGGGUAGAUCAUGUGAAUCAAUUUAGCUUGCUUGGUAUCAAGGGUACCACAGGAUAUGCUGCUCCAGGUACGAUUCCUUGAGAAUUUGCUUCUAGUGAUAUUGUGAUCCAGGGGGCGACAGUACUCGUGUUUAAUCGGAAGGGCAGGCAUGGGAGCCGAGCUACCUAGUCUCAGAGACUUGUACAACUAAGGAAUACUCAUGCUCGGGAAGACCUACCAGUGAAUUAUUCCGAGAUGAACUGAAGCUGCACAAGUAUGCUAAGAUGGCAUUGCCUGAUUGUGUUCUUGGGUUAUUGGACCAAAUGAUCCUGCAAGAGGUCUUGGAAGAAGUAUGAGACUUUUGCAAUUCCUAUCUCGGCAAUUUAAAAAGCAAGCAAAACCGAAUCUUUGCUCUCCGUGCUGAAAGUUGGAAGUGGCGUGCUCAGAAGAAUUUAUAUUUCAAGGAAGAAUGAACAUGAGAGCCGUUGUAGUGAAUUCUUUCUAUAUGGGAUGAAUAUAUAUUGGAACUGAA